AUGCAUUCUCAGUUGGACCUGAUGAUUGAGGGCGUUCCAUCCCACAGCUGGACGCGAGACACGGUGGCCGAGCUCCUCGGCUCCGGCUGCCUGGUGGAUAGCCUUGCGCCGGAGACAGCCAGCCGGGAAGACCUCUCUCUGUUCAAGCUCCGGGCGUGGUGCGUGGAUCCCGAUGAGGUGCCGGUGGCCAAGAGGUUGUGGGUGCCCGAGCCAGAGGUGGUUGGCAGCCCUGCGGCUCGCUGGCCGUCUUCCCGCCAGCUUUUGGAGUAUAAGACUCUCAUCCACAUUGGCAGAGUCAAGGAACAUGUGGGCCCGGAGGGCUGGCUUCGCCCUCUGAGCUCAGAUGGCAGCGGUCAGAGCGGUCUGCCGGAGGACUCCGACAACUUUUCGGGCAAUGGUGAAUGGAGGGUACUCCCGUGGACGGGCGGUGUUAGCGAUGCCCGCGGUGGCGCGCCGGCGGGUGGCGCUCCAGGCGGCUCUUAUCGUCAGGCUCUCUUGGGGCGCGUGGGUCCGCCCGACUGGCGCAUUCCGCCGAUGCCCAUGGGAGUUGCCAGUGUGCAGCCGCGGCAGCAGCCUAUGUGCCCUGCAUCGCCGGUGUCAAGGGAGCCCUUCCCAGCGCCGACUGCGGUUGUCAGCCCGAACAGGACGGUGGGGACGCCCGCAGCAUCGGAUCCGGGGCAAGGCCCUGUGGCCUCUGCGGAGAUUGCGCCAAUGGUCGGAUUGGCCACAGAAGAUCCAAGUGGUGGGGCCACGGGCCAGGAGUUGGUGGUGGCAGGGGCAGUUGGCGCUUUAUCCCCUGCGUUGGAACAUGAGUUGCCCCCUGCAGCUGGCAAUAAGGACAAAUCGGCUGAUUCGGUCUUGGAAGAAUCGGUCCAUCCCGAGGAUGGUGCCAGGGUUUGCAACAGAGCGACAGAGGGGACUGGCCUGGAUGGGACUGGGAUCCUGGAGGUGACCGGUCAAGUCCUGGCCCCUGAGAUUGCACAGUGCCACGUGCCUCGCGAUGUAGGGCUGGUUGAGGAUUCGAUCCAGGAGGGGGAACCCGCGCCAGGGUGGGCCUUGGUGGUGGAAAUUUCGUCCGGCGCACCGCUGCAUGCCGUGGUAGUGCCGGUGCAGUCGGAUAGGGCAGGUGCUGAUCCCGAGCCUGAGGCGGGAGGGGAGCCGGUUGGCUGCAUGGAUGUGAUCUACCUGGUGGAGCAUGCCGGUUGCAUGGAUGGUGACACUCCCAUGCACGUUCACGCCGAUCUGCUGCUGUCGCCUAAGGACGAAGUUGCAGUAGCAAAUAUUAAAGAUUUCUGCACUGGACUUUUGAAGAAGCUCGGCCUACCUCUCCUCAAGGAAAUUGAAGCUGUCCGUGGCAACUGUGUUGCGCAGGAUACUGCACGUCGUAACACGCGUGCUUCGUCUGCAUGCGCUCCUAGAAAGACCGGUGCAACGACAACAGAGACCGUGCUCCUCAAAGCCCUUGGUAUCACACCGGAUGGGCUGGCGGUCACAGAUGAGGUGCUUGGUCAGCUGCGGCAAAUGUUCGACUCCCCCAUCCAGGAGCCACAACUGAGGACGAUGGCGGCAAUCUUUGGGAAGGCGGUCCCUUUUGAUCUCGGCAUGGAGGAGGCCUCGAGGGUGGCUCUGCUCGCUUGA
rnacentral:rRNA from 1 species